UGGGGAAUAUUGGACAAUGGGCGCAAGCCUGAUCCAGCCAUGCCGCGUGUGUGAAGAAGGCCUUAGGGUUGUAAAGCACUUUCAGUGGGGAGGAAGGGUGUUGUGUUAAUAGCACAGCAUUUUGACGUUACCCACAGAAGAAGCACCGGCUAACUCCGUGCCAGCAGCCGCGGUAAUACGGAGGGUGCAAGCGUUAAUCGGAAUUACUGGGCGUAAAGCGCACGCAGGCGGCUUUUUAAGUCGGAUGUGAAAGCCCCGGGCUCAACCUGGGAAUUGCAUCUGAUACUGGGAAGCUAGAGUAUGUGAGAGGGGGGUAGAAUUCCAAGUGUAGCGGUGAAAUGCGUAGAGAUUUGGAGGAAUACCAGUGGCGAAGGCGGCCCCCUGGCACAAUACUGACGCUCAGGUGCGAAAGCGUGGGGAGCAAAACAGGAUUAGAUACCCUGGUAGUCCACGCCGUAAAACGAUGUCUACUAGAUGUUCGUGGUCUUGUACCGUGAGUAUCGCAGCUAACGCAUUAAGUAGACCGCCUGGGGAGUACGGUCGCAAGAUUAAAAACUCAAAUGAAUUGACGGGGUCAUAGCUGUUUCCU
rnacentral:rRNA from 1 species